UGUACAAGAAAGGUUGCAACUGAUGCACAAAGUCAACAUUAGUCAUCAAAAAAAAAACGUCACAUUUAACCAGUGCCAAGAGGCCGAGUAGCCAUGAAACAGUUCGUUUUUCAAAAAGCAAUGUUAUUUUAAGCCAAUGACAGUUCUUAAAAGAUACAAAGGUAAAUGGAAAAUAUAAAUAAUUAAUAGUAAGGACACAAGCAAUUAACUUAGUUUAGCCAUCUAAGACUACGCAGCAUUUAACACUUGACUCACAGUUCUAUGAACCAAGACCUGACAAACAUACUCAAAUAAAAAACACAAGUGGACUUUAUGUUGGGGUGACAGUUCAUUCAAGUGUCGACAUCAGCUGAAGAGUCUUAUAAAAGCUCUGCCUUGGGAAGUCUGCACUGGCUCAUUGCUGAAAAGAAACUUUCUCCAUCACGCCGGGGAGCAGCAAGAGCCGGAGGAACAGAAACUGGACACAGCUCCCCUCCCUGACAGAACCAGCGAAAAGUGAUGAUGUCUGGAUGAAAUCUUGUCUUUGCCCUUAUACGAGAUCCGGCAUUUGAAGACUGCUCCCUUGUGAAUGGACAGAUUGG